rnacentral:rRNA from 1 species
GACGAACGCUGGCGGCGUGCUUAAUACAUGCAAGUCGAACGGAAAGGCCCUGCUUUUGUGGGGUGCUCGAGUGGCGAACGGGUGAGUAACACGUGAGUAACCUGUCCUUGACUUUGGGAUAACUUCAGGAAACUGGGGCUAAUAUCGGAUAGGAGCUCCUGCUGCAUGGUGGGGGUUGGAAAGUUUCGGCGGUUGGGGAUGGACUCGCGGCUUAUCAGCUUGUUGGUGGGGUAGUGGCUUACCAAGGUUUUGACGGGUAGCCGGCCUGAGAGGGUGACCGGCCACACUGGGACUGAGAUACGGCCCAGAAUCCUACGGGAGGCAGCAGUGGGGAACAUUGCACAAUGAGCGGAAGCCUGAUGCAGCAACGCCGCGUGCGGGAUGACGGCCUACGGGUUGUAAACCGCUUUCGCCUGUGACGAAGCGUGAGUGACGGUAAUGAGUAAAGAAGCACCGGCUAACUACGUG